rnacentral:SRP_RNA from 2 species
GGGUAAGCACUACGCGACCAGCUCCUACUGAAUCCCCCCAGGGUCGGAAGGCAGCAAGGGUAAGUGGUUGUAGCGGUGCGACGUUUUUGCUUACCCACU